GAUGAACGCUGGCGGCGUGCCUAAUACAUGCAAGUCGAGCGAACGGACGAGAAGCUUGCUUCUCUGAUGUUAGCGGCGGACGGGUGAGUAACACGUGGAUAACCUACCUAUAAGACUGGGAUAACUUCGGGAAACCGGAGCUAAUACCGGAUAAUAUUUUGAACCGCAUGGUUCAAAAGUGAAAGACGGUCUUUCUGUCACUUAUAGAUGGAUCCGCGCUGCAUUAGCUAGUUGGUAAGGUAACGGCUUACCAAGGCAACGAUGCAUAGCCGACCUGAGAGGGUGAUCGGCAACACUGGAACUGAGACACGGUCAAGACUCCUACGGGAGGCAGCAGUAGGGAAUCUUCCGCAAUGGGCGAAAGCCUGACGGAGCAACGCCGCGUGAGUGAUGAAGGUCUUCGGAUCGUAAAACUCUGUUAUUAGGGAAGAACAUAUGUGUAAGUAACUGUGCACAUCUUGACGGUACCUAAUCAGAAAGCCACGGCUAACUACGUG
rnacentral:rRNA from 1 species